CUAUUCCGGGCACCGCUCAGCAGGGUGAUGUUUCCGAGUCUUCGGUAGAGGAUAGCCUUCUUCCACCACCGAGACCCUCUUCUGGUGGACACCGUCGCCGCAAAAAGAGCUCCAGGAGGCACGCCAAGAGAAGGCGGAGGGACACUUCAUCCUCUCCCUCAGGUACUUCAUCCUCUAGUUCAAGCAGCGAUGAGGAGGCCUCUCUUAAGCUUUAUUGGGGCUUUGGGGAGUCGGCGGGGCUUCCAAAAUGGGCUUGGGAGCGAAGGGCUAACUCUCAUAGGGCAAAGUACGGGGCAGUGCAGGAUUGUCGGGAUGGGGUUCUGGUACCUGAGGUAAAGGUCGCCACCAAUUCGGUCAGGGACCUCAUACCCGGUGCCCACUUGACUACCAAGCUGCGGUCCAGGAUUUUGGACGGCCGUUAUAUUGACAUAUUCAGCCUGGCCCCUCCGCAAGAGGGCCAGGACCCACAGGACAAAGGCUCUGCUGCCUCUAAAAAACGGGCGGUGUUAGCAAAGGUGGAUAGGACAUUUGAAAGGUGGCUGGAUAGCUUCCAAGUUUUUGCUGGAGUGGUGUCUGCAGCUUAUCCUAGGAGAUCUUUGCAUCUAUGGGUGUAUUUGUCUAUUGUCCGUUCGGCCUUCACGAUGGCUGGAGAAUCCGCGGCAAUAUCGUAUGAUGAGAACUUUAGGCGCAGGGCAGCUAAGAUCCCCACGGCCCGCUGGGACCGGAAGGAUUUGGACGUAUGGACCACUUUUGUGGCUCCGCGUAUUGACAAGAAGGCUGCAGAACCUCAGAAAUCUAAGGCUGUCCUACCAAGGGUGGGUCGUAAGUUGUUUUGCUGGGAUUUUACCAAGGGUACCUGCCUGCGACAAUUCUGCAGGUACGCACAUGCAUGUGAGAAGUGUUCUGGGAACCAUCCAGCUUCAGCUUGUGCAGGGGGCCGUCGGUCCUUUCGGAAAGGGGGGGCUCCCAGCAGCCCUCAAAAGCCGCUCCCCCGGCUCCAGCCGCUGGAGCAGCAAAGUAGUAUCUUGUCUUCUUUAGCCUAUACCCCGGUACGGCUACAGCCGCUGCUGUUAUUAUUGCAGUCAUAUCCAGACAGGGUUUCGGCGUCUUAUUUGCGGGAUGGUUUUUCUUUGGGCUUCAGGAUUCCAGUGGUUGCCACGCCGGUGGCUAGGAGUCCUGCGAAUCAGAGGUCAGUUUUGGACAUGCCAGAGGUGGCACGCAAGAAGAUCGGGAAGGAGCUGGCUUUACGUCGCAUGGCCGGCCCUUUUGUUGUUCCCCCAUUUCCCAAUUUGCAUAUUUCACCGUUGGGUAUUGUUCCUAAAAAAGCUCAGGGGGAAUUUCGCCUAAUUCACAAUCUAUCACACCCUAAGGGCACAUCAGUAAAUGAUGUUAUUCCCCCGGAGCUUUGUACGGUGAAGUAUGCUUCCCUUGAUCAAGCGAUCAAGAUGGUACGGAAAUUUGGGCCAGGCGCCCUAUUGGCCAAAUGCGACAUAGAAUCCGCAUUUCGGCUGCUUCCCAUUCAUCCCGAUGACUUCUGGUUACUGGGCUUCCAGUUUGAUGGAGGAUUUUACUUUGAUAAGGCCAUGCCUAUGGGCUGCUCGGUAGCCUGUGCGGCUUUUGAGCGUUUUAGUUCAUUUUUGGAUUGGACUUUGCGCAAAAGGACUGGUCUAAGCGGUGUCACGCAUUACCUGGAUGAUUUUUUAUUGGCCUCAGCUAAUGAUACAGGGCACUGCGUCGUGUUACUGCAGGCCUUUGCCGACUUAGCGGAAGAGCUUGGCGUGCCGUUAGCCGCGGAGAAGACUGAAGGUCCUUCUACGCGUCUGACUUAUUUGGGUAUCUUGUUGGAUACCGUGGCUCAAACAUCCAGGUUGCUGGCAGAUAAAAUACUUGCGCUUAAAGGAGUCAUUGAGGAACUGCUGCCCUUGAAGAAGGUGACCUUGCGACAGUUACAGUCGUUGCUGGGUCACCUGAAUUUUGCUUGUAGGGUGGUCGCCCCGGGGCGACCAUUCUGCUCACGUUUGGCCAGACUCAUGUCAGGUUUGAGAUCCCCGCAGCAUAGGGUGCGCCUGUCAGCCCAGGUGAGGGCUGACCUUCGGAUCUGGUUGGAAUUCCUGGAGGAAUUCAACGGGGUGUCUAUGUGGCAGGACACUUUGAACCUCCACACUGAUUUUCAGGUGCAUUCCGAUGCCGCGGGGUCUUUGGGGUUUGGCCUGUAUUGGGAUGGUAGGUGGUGUGCAGAGCGCUGGCCACUAGCUUGGCGUGGGGAAUCCAUAACUCGGGACCUAACUUUUCUGGAAUUUUUCCCAUUGUAGUGGCUGUGCAUUUGUGGGUCGAGCAUUUCAGGGACCAUCGAGUUUGUUUUUGGUCCGAUAACCUGGCUGUGGUGAACGUGCUAGCCAAGCAGUCUUCACGAUCCACUAGGGUAUCAGCCCUAUUGCGGGCUUUUGUUUUACAUUGCUUGCGUUUUAACAUUGUAUUUUCUGCUCGUUUUGUUCCUGGCGUGUCUAAUGACAUUGCUGAUGCUCAGUCCCGUUUUCAGAUGGAGCGGUUCAGGUCCCUGGCGCCAGUGGCUCGAGACCGUCCGGAAUUUUUCCCGGAUCAUCUCUGGAACCUUGGCAGCACUUAGUUUUACAGGGAGUAGCUGCAUCUCUUGCCCCCUCCACUUUGAGGUCUUAUAAGAAGGCUUGGACUGAUUUUUUACAGUUCACUGGGCAGCAGGUGGUGGGGGGAGUGGGUAGCCCCCAUUCUACCACCCAGGUGCACCACCCUGGCACACCUAUUUCAGAGGCGUCGGGCAAACAGGACGCUGAGACUGCAUUCCGCAGCAAUUUCCUUCUUUAGCAAGGCAAUUUUUAACAAGGAUCCAUGUGGGAAAUUUGUGGUGCGAAAGGCACUUGAAGGCUGGGGGCGACUGCGUCCCUCUAGACCAACUUCCAGGCAGCCCAUCACAUUUCAUCUGCUGACUAGGAUGCGCAGCAAACUGAGGAGCAUCUGUUGGUCCAGGUUUGAGGCUCGGUUGUUUUCCGCAGCCUUUUCUUUAGCCUUCUUCGGGGCCCUGAGAGUGGGGGAGGUGGUCCUUGAGCCUAAGCGGGAUGGAGGUUCUAGGGGUUUGUUGCUGCAGGACGUGAGCUUGUCUCCGUCAGAAGUGCAAGUCAAUGUCAGGAGUUCAAAAACGGAUCAACUGGGAAGGGGAGCGGUGAUUCGGCUCCCAGCAACUGGGAAAGGGGGUCCUUGCCCGGUCAAGGAUCUCUGGAAAUACAUGGCCUUACGACCACCAGGUGAUGGCCCUUUGUUUAUUCAUGAAAAUGGGCACCCGUUGGCCCGUCACCAGUUCACCAAGGUGCUGCGCAAGGUGAUUGUUGCCUGCGGCCUGGUGGCUUCUGAGUUUGCUCCUCAUUCCUUUCGGAUAGGGGCUGCAACGACUGCGGCUCACUGGGGUUUAUCAGUGGAGAGGAUUAAGGACCUGGGCCGGUGGAGGUCGGACGCGUACAGAGGUUAUGUACGGAAAUGACGGAUUUCAUGCGCUUACGUUUUGUUUUACCCUAGGCCCAGCAACUAUACGCAUCUGGAUUGUGGGGCACAGUAUUGUAUACUGGGCUGCUAGCAGAGCUCGUCAGUCCGGAAUGGGUGAUGGCCUUGGCCUGCCACAGCACGUACGGGUGUCCUGGAUCUCCAGAAGGGGGAUGCUGUGGAAGGAGCUUCUACCGCUUAUGCAGAGGCGUGUUCUCAUGGAAGGCCCUCCUUCAGCGAUUGUGGUUCAGCUCGGAGAAAAUGAUAUGGUGUCAUCUUCCUGUUAUGUCCUGCGGGCUGUUAUGUUGGAAGAUUUGCGGGAAUUGGCGGCCAUGGUGCCGGCAACUAAAAUAAUUUGGUCACAGUUGCUUCAACGCCGUAAGUGGCGAGGUAGCCCCUGUUUGGCGGCCACUGAACGGGUUAGAAAGCGGAUUAAUUCUGCAGUGAGCAAGUUGGUGGUCAAUUUGGGUGGGUUUGUGAUUCCACACCCUCUGAUUACGUUCAAAGCCGCUGAAUUGUUUAUGAUGGAUGGGGUUCAUCUGUCUUCUGUUGGAAAUGAUGUGUGGUUACAUUCAGUGGUGGAUAAGUUGAGGGCGUGUUUGAGGCUGUGAGUGGUUGGCGGCGAGCGUAAGGGCUCGAGUGGCGGUUAGGCAUUGGUUUAAAUUGGUUGGUGGAGGGGUAUGGAUUGGCUGUGCCUGCCCCUCCAAUGCUGUUGCUGCACGGGAAUUCCGUUAAAGGAAUUCAGGGGCUUACCAUCCUUUCGUCCAAACCCCUGGAAUCGGGUUUGGGCCGUGUAAGCCCCUAGGAGCAUGCAGGGAGAAGCUGAGGGUCUGUGUCGCAGCUCCAGUCAUCCCUGAACUUGUUCCUCCACACUGGCUUUCGCUGGAAUCUGGGAGCCAGUGCUGUCCCCAAUGUGGGGGGGGACAGAUAGUCAUAACCAAUGCCUAAGCAACCACUCACAAUUUGUAUGAUAAUAAAGUUGUGGCCAAAAUUAUGCCAAAAACCUUAAACAAAAAUUAUGUGUGAUGUGUGAGUUAUUGGGGUAAGGGUGUUUUGGGGGGACCUCAGCACGCAACCCCAGUGUUAAAGGUAAUGUGCCUCUGAAUACCAACUAUUGGAGGUCCUAAGCAGGAGAAUGAUGCUUGUUGGCUUCUCAGAGGUAUCCAGUUGGCCACUGUGAGAAAAGAAUGCUGG